UACAUUUUUUAAAUUUUAAGAAUUAUUCAUUUCUAAAUAUUUUUCUUUUUUCCCUUUCUCUACAACUCUUUUCCUCUUUUUUCCUGAAAUUUCUUUUCCUCUCUUUCGAUACCGAUGAUUUUUUUUUUCCUUUCUUCUUCUCCUUCCCCACAAAAUUCCAAAAUGUGCCCCACCAGUGAUGCCACCUCGUUCGCAAGUUCGUGACUCCGCCCCAAGUUUUACCGCUUGUGACUCUACACCUGCUGAACGUAGCGAGAUCUGCAACCUUCGACGCCACCUCAAGCUCCACCGCACGAGGUCUGCCGCCCACGUGACGCCGCAAGCUCCGCCGACGACUCCAGAUCUGCUGCCAAAUCGGUAUAACUCGGGGAAUCGAAAAGAUCCAUAAAUAAUUGUUUUGAAGGGCAAUGGUUCAUAAAGGAAGGAAAUUUUAUGUUAACACAAAGAAAAUAAAGGGUGGAUUUCUUAUCUUUUGGAAAAUAUAUCAUGAUUUUAAUUUGUUUCAAGAUAAAAUUUUCAUCCAUUUAGCCAUGCUAUGCCCAUCUUGACAUUGAGAAAAUUAAUACGCUUGAACUACUCCCUUAUUAACAUUGAUGAUUUGAUGGUUUAAUUUGUUAGCUUCGAGAAGCUACAAUGUUUUGUUCUAUUGUAUUUUCUUUAGUUUAAGGAUAUGAGAUUGAUAUCUGGAAAGUAAGUGAAGCAAUUAAAGAGUUAAUACACAUUAAAUAAAGUUUGUAGUAUUUUCAUGGUUCUAAA